UGACUUCCUCAACGAAAAUUGGCAUUAAAAUGCCACUUUCCGUUGGACCUUGGAGCGUGUGCCAGUUUCUCCCUCAGAACACUGGCUCCUCUCAAACUCAAUCACGAAGCACCCGACGCGGUCUUUGACCGAAUGGGUUCGUCGGCAUUGAUAACUCGUUACAUGCCCGCAACCCGCCAACGUCGAGUCUUUCGAUCUCUUUGACAUAUAUAUCUC
rnacentral:misc_RNA from 1 species